CCUACGGGAGGCAGCAGUGAGGAAUAUUGGUCAAUGGGCUUACGCCUGAACCAGCCAAGUCGCGUGAGGGAAGACUGCCCUAUGGGUUGUAAACCUCUUUUGUCAGGGAGCAACGCCGGCUACGUGUAGCCGGACUGAGAGUACCUGAAGAAAAAGCCUCGGCUAACGCCGUGCCAGCAGCCGCGGUAAUACGGAGGAUGCGAGCGUUAUCCGGAUUUAUUGGGUUUAAAGGGUGCGUAGGCGGAAUGCCAAGUCAGCGGUAAAAUCGCGGGGCUCAACCUCGCUCCGCCGUUGAAACUGGCGGUCUUGAGUGGGCGAGAAGUAUGCGGAAUGCGUGGUGUAGCGGUGAAAUGCAUAGAUAUCACGCAGAACUCCGAUUGCGAAGGCAGCAUACCGGCGCCCAACUGACGCUGAAGCACGAAAGCGUGGGUAUCGAACAGGAUUAGAUACCCCUGUAGUC
rnacentral:rRNA from 1 species